rnacentral:rRNA from 1 species
AUUGAACGCUGGCGGCAUGCUUUACACAUGCAAGUCGAACGGCAGCGCGGGCUUCGGCCUGGCGGCGAGUGGCGAACGGGUGAGUAAUAUAUCGGAACGUACCCAAGAGUGGGGGAUAACGUAGCGAAAGUUACGCUAAUACCGCAUACGAUCUAAGGAUGAAAGCAGGGGAUCGCAAGACCUUGUGCUCCUGGAGCGGCCGAUAUCUGAUUAGCUAGUUGGUGGGGUAAAGGCCCACCAAGGCAACGAUCAGUAGCUGGUCUGAGAGGACGAUCAGCCACACUGGGACUGAGACACGGCCCAGACUCCUACGGAGGCAGCAGUGGGGAAUAUUGGACAAUGGGCGCAAGCCUGAUCCAGCAAUGCCGCGUGAGUGAUGAAGGCCUUAGGGUUGUAAAGCUCUUUUACCCGAGAUGAUAAUGACAGUAUCGGGAGAAUAAGCUCCGGCUAACUCCGUGCCAGCAGCCGCGGUAA